ensembl:lncRNA
CUAUGAUCCAGUGAAUGUUGGCAACUUGAUCUCUGGUUCCUUGGACAGCAGAGGAACAGAGUCCCUUGGACAGCAAGGAGAUCAAACUAGUCAAUCCUAAGGGAAAUCAACCCCGAAUACUCAUUGGAAGGACUGAUGCCGAAGUUGAAACUUCAUUAUUUUGGUCUUUGAAUAUUUUUGUGUCCGAAUGUGAUGCUUGGAGCUGCUGCAGCCAUCUUGCCACUGUAAGAGUUCAAACCUGAAGACAAGGAACAAUGAGCUGAGGAUGGCUGAGCCAAAAGAUAGAAAGAACCCGGGUCCCCAGUGACAUAGUCGAGCCACUGAAUUAAGCCGAAUAUGCCCGAAUUCUAAACUGCUUAUUAUCUGAGCCCUGGGGAGCUGGAGGCUGGCAUGUGCUAAUUGGAUGACGGCAUUGGGUCUGACUGGCCUUGUAAAUGUGUACACAGGCAGUGAGCGG